GAUGAACGCUGGAGGCGUGCCUCAUACAUGAAAGUCGAGCGAAGCGGGGAGGGGUGAGUAACACGUGGAUAACCUACUCUAAAACUGGGAUAACUUCGGGAAACGGGAGCUAGAACGGAUACUUAUAGAUGAAGCCUCGCUACAUUAGCUAGGUGGUAAGGUAACGGCUUACCAAGUCAACGAUGCAUAGCCGACCUGAGAGGGUGAUCGGCCACACUGUAACGGAGACACGGUCCAGACUCCUACCGUAGGCAGCAGUAGGGAAUCUUCCGCCAUUGGCGAAACCCUGACGGAGCAACGCCGCUUGAGUUAUGAAGGUCUUCGGAUCUUAAAACUCUGGUAUUAGGGAAGCGGUACCUAAUCAGAAAGCCACGGCUAACUACGUGCCAGCCGCCGCGGUAAGAC
rnacentral:rRNA from 1 species